AGGGGCGUGAUGUUAAUGGUAGCAUGCAGGUCUCCAAAACCUGUCGUCAGGGUUCGAAUCCCUGCGCCCCUGCCA
rnacentral:tRNA from 1 species